UGACAUCUGUGAAGUUCAUACAUGUACUAGUAACAUGGUGUUCAGAUAUGAAGAGAUGCAGGUCUACAUUGUUCAACACAGUGUAUGAGGGAAUUAGAGUGGAUGGCAAGGAUAGAAAACAUUUCACAAUUUUAGAAUGAUCAAGUUGCCUGUGAUGACUGUUCUUGCCAACUGCAGCGGAAUUCUGUAUUAUAGAUGAAAACUGUACAGACCAUGGAGUUCAGAAAUUGUGAGAUGCGGGUCUUAUUUGUUCAACACAGUUUUCAAGGGAAACAUAGCGGAUGGCAAGAAUAGAUAACAUUUCACAAUUUUACAAUGAUCAAGUUGCCUGAGAUGACUGUUCUUGUUGUGGCUCUAGUACAAACUGAAGCAGAAUUCUGUUUUAUAGAUGAAAACUUUGAAGUAUCAGUACAGACCAUGAAGUUCAGAAAUGAUGAGAUGCGGGUCUUAUUUGUUCAACACAGUGUUUAA